UAAGCUUGACAUCCCUCGGACCGGUAGUUAAUCCUACCUUCCCUUCGGGGUCGAGGUGACAGGUGGUGCAUGGUUGUCGUCAGCUCGUGUCGUGAGAUGUUGGGUUAAGUCCCGCAACGAGCGCAACCCUUGUCUUUAGUUGCCAGCAUUUAGUUGGGCACUCUAGAGAGACUGCCAGGGAUAACCUGGAGGAAGGUGGGGAUGACGUCAAAUCAUCAUGCCCCUUAUGCUUAGGGCUACACACGUGCUACAAUGGGUGGUACAGAGGGUUGCCAAACCGUGAGGUGGAGCUAAUCCCUUAAAGCCAUUCUCAGUUCGGAUUGUAGGCUGAAACUCGCCUACAUGAAGCUGGAGUUACUAGUAAUCGCAGAUCAGAAUGCUGCGGUGAAUGCGUUCCCGGGUC
rnacentral:rRNA from 1 species